GCAAGAAGGGAAUAAUAGCUUCAAGUAACAGGCACUCAAUUCCAUGAUGGAAAAUCUAAUGGCCACUUUCCAUUACCACAUCCCAGGAGCAGUCCAGGGACAGAGAAUUUACAGCUUACCGAGCCAGGCCAUUGCACUUUUGGACAACUCUACUAAAUGGAUUUUCCUCAUGCCAUUGCAUAACUGCUACCUGCCACCAGAGCCUCAGAAAUACAUGGUUUUCCAUCAAGCACUCAUGGAACAUGUAACUGUGGGCGCUUCUAGGGCGGUUCAUGAUGGAUCCUCCAAGAUCAACUAAAUAUAAAACAAGCUCCCAGCUGAGGCAGCUGCUCUCGCCUCUUCUUUCACUCGCUCCUGGCAGCACAGCAAUCUCUGCAAGUUACUUGGACCCUCAGGACUCCUUGUUCAAGUGCAAUGGAGGACCAUGCAGAUGGCAGGGAAAACCAAAGAAAGCUCAGGUGGCCCAUCAUGGCUGUCAUCGGUGGAAGAACGUCUCUAUUUAACACUGAACCUUAGUAAUGACAUGCUCUCCCCUUGUCCUGGACCUUCAUUUUGAAAUAGAGCAUUCGGGUGGGAGGGGAACCACGGGGGCAUUUCAAUCCUGAACCUGCUCUGGGCGGUGGCUCUAGCCUUUGGGAUUUUGUGCUCAUUUACAGUUUUUUGAGAUGGAAUCUUGCUCUGUCUCCCAGGCUGGAGUGCAGUGGUAUAAUCUUGGCUCAGUGCAACCUCCAUCUCCUGGGUUCAAGCAAUUCUCCUGCCUCAGCUUCCUGAGUAGCUGGGAUUACAGGUUCACGCCACCAUGCCCAGCUAAUUUUUGUAUUUUUAGUAGAGAUGGGGUUUCACCAUGUUGGCCGGGCUGGUCUCAAACUCUUGACCUCAAGUGAUCCACCUGUCUCGGCCUCCCGAAGUGUUGGGAUUACAGGCGUGAGCCACCACGCCUGGUCUGUCCUCAUUUACUUAAAGAGCCAUUACUCACCCCCAAUUCCCCAUAGAUAGUGGCCAACUUCUUUGAAAUCUGGAGACAUUUUCAAAUGCUCAACCCUUUUUUCAGCAAUUCUAUCUGUUUCUAAAAUAAGUGUCACUCAGGAUGGAUAUGCUUUUAGAGAAACACUGUGACAAAGACCCUUUGCUCCAGAGGAAGGACCUGCAGUGGCCCCAGGCUGUGGCUCCAGCAUCACUUGAGACAGUGUGAACAUUUGGACACAAUUAAAAUGAGGACACUUAAUCAAAGAACACACUUACAAAGGAAAGGGGCAGGAAAGCCAGGAGGCAGCAGGUGUGGGACCCCACAUGGGACAGGCAGCUGUGUGUUGUUGGUACCACCUUCCUGCCAUGGCUUUCCUACACCAGCAGAGAGAAAGCCCAUUUCUGCUCUCUGCUGCAAGACUCUCUGGAUGGAAGGCCCAGUUCCACAGGAAAGAAAUCCUGGUGGCUGAGGCGUGCCUGUGCAUAGCCUGGAUGGCUCGGCCUGUGGCCGGCAGGCACCCAGGGCCCCUGGUGGGGGUCUCACCCGCUUGGGAUGGCCUCAGCUCCCAGGCUGCAGCCACCACUGCCAUUUCAAAGCUCCUCCAGCAUUCUGGAUGCUUAGCCAGCCUGGGGACCCUCUCUCUGCUCUUCGGGUAUCUUACAGGUAAGAAAGAUGUCAUUGUAAGCUUUUACCCUUGGAAACACAUUCAUUCCAAACAUAUCAAAAGAACUUAUUAGGCCGUGUGUGGUGGCUUAUGCCUGUAAUCCCAGAGCUUUGGGAGGCCCAGGUGGGCGGAUCGCUUGAGCCCAGGAAUUUGAGAACAGCCUGGACCUCCUUGACUUCUGGGGAGUUUAUGAGGGACCUGGACACUGUCAGAGUGGUUUUUUGUUUCCCUUUGUGUACAGUUUUGAGUUCAUUGUUUAUGUAUUAGGGUUUGGAAUAGGAUCAUAUAAAUAUUUCAGGUCCUAAAAUAGCUGUGACAGUGUCACUAAUCUGCCCCUGAGCUGAACAUCCACCCCUCCGCCGCCAUUUAAUCCUCCAGUCAUGUGAGGGAGGAUGGGAGUCUGUGUGAACGUCAUUCUCACUCGCCUUCAAAGAUCAUAUCUGCCUGUCUCAUCUGUCAAGAACGUAGAGUUUGUUGUGAUGGUGUAUUCAAAAUAGACGAAACGUGUGGUCAUUGUACUUGGCAAACAGCUUUUCACGUCAGGAUGUUUCUGCCCCCGGCUCAGGGCUGGUCCGACUGUGUGAAGAAUGUGGCUCAGUGCAGGUGCCCAGUCUGCCACCCUCAGUCCCGCAGCUGCAGUGUUAGAAUAACUGUGCUGUGGGCACCCAGCGUUGGUGACAUGGGGAAUGUGGAAUAAUGAAUACUUAAUUCACAUGUGCUUAUAGAAAAAACUUUAUACAAUAAAAAUAACCAAUUGUUAUAUUUACAUCUUUUUCUGUCACUAUAUAUAAAAGGAAUCAAGAAUUUUCAUGCAGCUUCCGGGUAUUCUUGAGACUGGUAUAUCAUUUCUUUUUGAAAAGUGCAUUAUUGCAUAACACCACCUAGAUAAAUAUAUUUUUAUGUAUUUAUAAGUAUAUUUUAGCUCAAAAAUAUCAAUAGUAUACAUAGCUU
rnacentral:lncRNA from 1 species